rnacentral:lncRNA from 1 species
CCUCGAGAAAUCUUGAAGGCGAGCAUCAGAGGUGGGAGUACGGACAGAAGAUAGAUGUAAGUCUUCAGCAGAUCGUAAGGGCCUUAUACUUGUGUAUAAGGGAGGAUAGAUAGGUGGGAGCAGCAUUAUGUAGAGAUUUGAAAGCAAGAACCCGAAUUUUAAAUUGAGCUCUAUAUUUUAUAGGAAGCCAAUGUAGGGACUGACAGAAGUGUGAGG